rnacentral:ncRNA from 1 species
GCGUAUCGACCCGUGCAGUGUUGUAGCUAACACGUUAAGUAUCCCGCCUGGGGAGUACGUUUGCAAGAAUGAAACUCAAAGGAAUUGACGGGGGCCCAUACAAGCGCUCGAGCAUGUGGUUCAAUUCGAUGCAAAGCGAAGAAUCUUACCAGAGCUUGACAUGCCGUGAAUCCUCCCGAAAGAGAGGAGUGCCUUUGGGAAUGGGGACACAGGUGGUGCAUGGCUAUCAUAAGAUCGUUCCGUAAGGUGUUGGGUUAAGUCCCGCAAUGAGUGAAACCCUCAUGUUUAAUUGCCAGCAUUGAGUUUGGAACCCUGAACAAACUGUCGGUGAUAAGCCGAAGGAAGGUGAGGAUGAUGUCAAGUCAUCAUGCCCCUUACGCCUUGGGUGACACACGUGAUACAAUGAAUGGGACAAAGGGUCACAACCCCACGAGGGCAAGCUAACCUCAAAAACCCAGCCUUAGUUCGGAUUGCAGGCUGCAACUCGCCUGCAUGAAGUCGGAAUCGCUAGUAAUCGUCGAUCAGCCAUACGACGGUGAAUCCAUUCCCGGGCCUUGUACACACCACCCGUCACACUAUGGGAGCUGGUCAUGCCCCAAGUCGUUACCUUAACCGCAAGGAGAGGGAUGUCGAAGGCUUCUCUAGUGACUAGAGUGAAGUCAUAACAAGGUAGUCUUACUGGAAGGUGCGGCUAGAUCACCUCCUUU